ensembl:lncRNA
CUUGGUUGAUUAUACCGGCGCACUGCUUUGAUAUCGGUAAAGCUGCCACCUAGGCUACGUCACUCGCCUGUCAAACAGAAGAUUUCCUUUCCACUUUUACCUCAGGGACACCACAGGAGACCAGACGGCUCAUUCAUUUCAGGGCGACCAGGGACAAUGAGUUCCUAAAAUCGAAAAUGAUCGCCAGAAAACAGUGGGAGCUUUUUCUGGAAGAAAUGGGGGUGGAGGGGAAAGUGACCAGGCAACAGGCUUCUAAGAAGUGGGAGAACCUCAAAAAGAAGUACAAGGCCCGCUCUAUCACAGAACGUGCCUUGGAUUGGCGGUAAUUAAAGCGCUGCUGCACCCGCCCAAUCACCGGCUCUUUAUAGGGAGUCAACAGACAUACGGGCGUCUGGAGGCAGGGGUACCCACCAUCACCUAAAAGCAUGUAACCCGGCGGUGGAUACCUGGCAGUCAAAUAAAAAUAACAGUUUUUCAUUACCCUUGUCCUUUAUGUUUCUUGGACGGAAUGUAACUGAUAAUUUCGUUGCUCUGUAACAUGUGCAAUGACAACAAAUAAAAUCCUAUCC